AUUGAACGCUGGCGGCAGGCCUAACACAUGCAAGUCGAACGAGUGGCGGACGGGUGAGUAAUGUCUGGGAAACUGCCUGAUGGAGGGGGAUAACUACUGGAAACGGUAGCUAAUAACGCAUACCAUCAGAUGUGCCCAGAUGGGAUUAGCUUGUUGGUGGGGUAACGGCUCACCAAGGCGACGCUCCCGAGCUGGUCUGAGAGGAUGACCAGCCACACGGGAACGGAGACACGGUCCAGCCUCCUACGGCGGGCAGCGGUGGGGAAUAUUGCACAAUGGGCGCAGGCCUGUGGCAGCCAUGCCGGUUGUAUGAAGAAGGCCUUCGGGUUGGAAAGUACUUUCAGCGGGGAGGCGUUACCCGCAGAAGAAGCACCGGCUAACUCCGUGCCAGCAGCCGCGGUAAUUC
rnacentral:rRNA from 1 species